GACUAAGCGUACACGGUGGAUGCCCUGGCAGUCAGAGGCGAUGAAGGACGUGCUAAUCUGCGAAAAGCGUCGGUAAGGUGAUAUGAACCGUUAUAACCGGCGAUGUCCGAAUGGGGAAACCCAGUGUGAUUCGUCACACUAUCGUUAACUGAAUACAUAGGUUAACGAGGCGAACCGGGGGAACUGAAACAUCUAAGUACCCCGAGGAAAAGAAAUCAACCGAGAUUCCCCCAGUAGCGGCGAGCGAACGGGGAGCAGCCCAG
rnacentral:rRNA from 1 species